rnacentral:lncRNA from 12 species
CACAGUUGAUGGAUGCAGUACAACAACCACCUAAUUAAUUUGCUGGAGAGUUUAGCAGUUGAUAAAUACAGUUUAUCAAAAAGCCAUCAAUCAAGCUCUUGCUUAGAGAUACUGCCAAAACUACAAAACCCCACAAAAAUCACUAGUGCAUUCCUUCCAGACACUUGA